CAGCCACCGACCCCUUCGUCCGCCGGCCGCUAGGGGGAGCCCGACUGCGCGCGUUUCGUCUUAAAAAUUGGCCCCGAGGGAGAAUCGCGAAAGUUCUGUGCCCUAGGCGUGUGUGCGUGCAUGCGUGUGUUUGUGCCGGUUGUUAGGACUGCUGCUGAGAUGCUGCCUUUUAACAGGAAUCAGCCUGAGAGUCAUGACUGCACUUAUUUAUUUCAGUACUUAAGUUAACUUCGUAUUUAUUUAGCUCUGACUAAAGUGGCCGAGGCGUGCUGCUAAAAGCUUCCCAAGCAGGACGGCCCUCCACCUUCACCCAAACCCACAGGACCAAACUGAGAGUCAGGGAAGGGCUCUGUCCUUACCAGAGGACUUGGAAGAAGAAAGCCAUAGUCUUCAGAAAUGUGAAAUCUUCCUAAAGUCAAUGAUGGUGUUGUCUUCAGAUUCGGACUCUGAGGCUCCAUAAUUUUGUUUGCACCAAAGCUGCUCCUGAAGAGACAACUGCUCCAAAGCUGUGCAGUUAUCUCGGGAACAGGGGAGAACCUUGGUCUGAGGUUGAAUUCCACACUGCCGUGGACUUUCUCCUUCACAAAGCUAAGUAAGCAAGUAAAUGCUGCUGAUUAAAAGAAACAGGCAAACAAAACCAGCUCAGAAAAAAAAAAAA